CUUGUCGAACGAGCGAGAGAGAGCUUGCUUUCUCGAGCGAGUGGCGAACGGGUGAGUAACGCGUGAGGAACCUGCCUCAAAGAGGGGGACAACAGUUGGAAACGACUGCUAAUACCGCAUAAGCCACGGUGCCGCAUGGCACAGAGGGAAAAGGAGCAAUCCGCUUUGGGAUGGCCUCGCGUCCGAUUAGCUAGUUGGUGAGGUAACGGCCCACCAAGGCAACGAUCGGUAGCCGGACUGAGAGGUUGAACGGCCACAUUGGGACUGAGACACGGCCCAGACUCCUACGGGAGGCAGCAGUGGGGAAUAUUGCACAAUGGGGGAAACCCUGAUGCAGCGACGCCGCGUGGAGGAAGAAGGUCUCCGGAUUGUAAACUCCUGUUGUUGGGGAAGAUAAUGACGGUACCCAACAAGGAAGUGACGGCUAACUACGUGCCAGCAGCCGCGGUAAAACGUAGGUCACAAGCGUUGUCCGGAAUUACUGGGUGUAAAGGGAGCGCAGGCGGGAAGACAAGUUGGAAGUGAAGUCUAUGGGCUCAACCCAUAAACUGCUUUCAAAACUGUUUUUCUUGAGUAGUGCAGAGGUAGGCGGAAUUCCCGGUGUAGCGGUGGAAUGCGUAGAUAUCGGGAGGAACACCAGUGGCGAAGGCGGCCUACUGGGCACCAACUGACGCUGAGGCUCGAAAGUGUGGGUAGCAAACAGGAUUAGAUACCCUGGUAGUCCACACCGUAAACGAUGAUUACUAGGUGUUGGAGGAUUGACCCCUUCAG
rnacentral:rRNA from 1 species